AAGUUAAAAUUCGGUGAAUGCCUCUGAUGAUGAAAGAAUGUAAGUAUAUAACAGACAUUGACAAUGUUUUACAUGUGAAAGACAUUGACACUGUUUUGCAUAUGAAAGACUGUCACACGCUUUCAUUAUUAAAGCAGUAGUAUUUGUUGUGCAUGUUCUGAAAUUGCAAAAAGUUCUUUGGAUUAUUGUAUCAGAGAGGU
rnacentral:lncRNA from 1 species